rnacentral:sRNA from 1 species
GUCAAUAACCUACCACUUAAUGAACACUUAAGGUGAGGGCUUGUAAAAACAGCCCUAAUUGACUAGACUAAGUAUUCAUGUACAACAUUGGAUAGGUCAACGCCUCCCUAGUUCCAAGCUUUGUCGUGUAAAGUUAAAGGUGCUGAUGAGUAGAGGCAGUGCUGUAUGCAAAAACAGCCCUUCCAACGUUGGCGAAGGGAUAUUUUACGCUGGCGAGCAGU